ACGUACACUCCUGCGGGAGGCAGCAGUGGGGAAUUUUGGACAAUGGGCGAAAGCCUGAUCCAGCCAUGCCGCGUGCAGGAUGAAGGCCUUCGGGUUGUAAACUGCUUUUGUACGGAACGAAACGGCCUUUUCUAAUAAAGAGGGCUAAUGACGGUACCGUAAGAAUAAGCACCGGCUAACUACGUGCCAGCAGCCGCGGUAAUACGUAGGGUGCAAGCGUUAAUCGGAAUUACUGGGCGUAAAGCGUGCGCAGGCGGUUAUGUAAGACAGUUGUGAAAUCCCCGGGCUCAACCUGGGAACUGCAUCUGUGACUGCAUAGCUAGAGUACGGUAGAGGGGGAUGGAAUUCCGCGUGUAGCAGUGAAAUGCGUAGAUAUGCGGAGGAACACCGAUGGCGAAGGCAAUCCCCUGGACCUGUACUGACGCUCAUGCACGAAAGCGUGGGGAGCAAACAGGAUUAGAUACCCUUGUAGUCC
rnacentral:rRNA from 1 species